AAUCAACGCUGGCGGCGUGCCUAACACAUGCCAGUCGAACGCGAAAGCCCCGCAAGGGGUAAGUAGAGUGGCAAACGGGUGAGUAACACGUGGGUGACCUGCCUUCGAGUGGGGGAUAACGUCCCGAAAGGGACGCUAAUACCGCAUGACAUCCUGCUUUUGAAAAAGCGGAGAUCAAAGCUGGGGAUCGCAAGACCUAGCGCUUGAAGAGGGGCUCGCGCCUGAUUAGCUAGUUGGUGAGGUAACGGCUCACCAAGGCGACGAUCAGUAUCCGGCCUGAGAGGGCGGACGGACACACUGGGACUGAGACACGGCCCAGACUCCUACGGGAGGCAGCAGUGGGGAAUUGUUCGCAAUGGGCGCAAGCCUGACGACGCAACGCCGCGUGGAGGACGAAGAUCUUCGGGUCGUAAACUCCUGUCGAGCGGGACGAACGCUUCGCGGAUGAAUAAUCCGCGGAAUUGACGGUACCGCUAAAGGAAGCCCCGGCUAACUCCGUG
rnacentral:rRNA from 1 species